rnacentral:tRNA from 1 species
GGGUCGCUAGCUCAAUUCGGCAGAGCAACGGACUCUUAAUCCGCAGGUUCCGGGUUCGAGUCCCGGGCGACCCA